rnacentral:rRNA from 2 species
GAACGCACUCUCGUUAGAUUGAAGAAGCUUGCUUCUGAUUGAUAACAUUUGAGUGAGUGGCGGACGGGUGAGUAACACGUGGGUAACCUGCCCUAAAGUGGGGGAUAACAUUUGGAAACAGAUGCUAAUACCGCAUAAAACCUAGCACCGCAUGGUGCAAGGUUGAAAGAUGGUUUCGGCUAUCACUUUAGGAUGGACCCGCGGUGCAUUAGUUAGUUGGUGAGGUAAAGGCUCACCAAGACCGUGAUGCAUAGCCGACCUGAGAGGGUAAUCGGCCACACUGGGACUGAGACACGGCCCAGACUCCUACGGGAGGCAGCAGUAGGGAAUCUUCCACAAUGGACGAAAGUCUGAUGGAGCAACGCCGCGUGAGUGAAGAAGGUUUUCGGAUCGUAAAACUCUGUUGUUGGAGAAGAACGUAUUUGAUAGUAACUGAUCAGGUAGUGACGGUAUCCAACCAGAAAGCCACGGCUAACUACGUGCCAGCAGCCGCGGUAAUACGUAGGUGGCAAGCGUUGUCCGGAUUUAUUGGGCGUAAAGCGAGCGCAGGCGGUUUCUUAAGUCUGAUGUGAAAGCCUUCGGCUCAACCGAAGAAGUGCAUCGGAAACUGGGAAACUUGAGUGCAGAAGAGGACAGUGGAACUCCAUGUGUAGCGGUGAAAUGCGUAGAUAUAUGGAAGAACACCAGUGGCGAAGGCGGCUGUCUGGUCUGUAACUGACGCUGAGGCUCGAAAGCAUGGGUAGCAAACAGGAUUAGAUACCCUGGUAGUCCAUGCCGUAACGAUGAGUGCUAGGUGUUGGAGGGUUUCCGCCCUUCAGUGCCGCAGCUAACGCAUAA